rnacentral:rRNA from 1 species
AUUGAACGCUGGCGGCAUGCCUUACACAUGCAAGUCGAACGGCAGCACGGGUGCUUGCACCUGGUGGCGAGUGGCGAACGGGUGAGUAAUACAUCGGAACAUGUCCUGUAGUGGGGGAUAGCCCGGCGAAAGCCGGAUUAAUACCGCAUACGAUCUACGGAUGAAAGCGGGGGACCUUCGGGCCUCGCGCUAUAGGGUUGGCCGAUGGCUGAUUAGCUAGUUGGUGGGGUAAAGGCCUACCAAGGCGACGAUCAGUAACUGGUCUGAGAGGAGGGCGAGCCACACGGGAACUGAGACAGGGUCGAGACUCCUACGGGAGGCAGCAGUGGGGAAUAUUGGACAAUGGGCGAAAGCCUGAUCCAGCCAUGCCGCGUGUGUGAAGAAGGUCUCCGGAUUGUAAAGCACUUUAAGGUGGGAGGAAGGGAAGUAAGUUAAUACCUUGCUGUUUUGACGUUACCAAAAGAAUAAGCACCGGCUAACUUCGUG